rnacentral:rRNA from 1 species
GCGAGUGAAGCGGCAAAAGCUCAAAUUUGAAAUCCGCAAGGAGUUGUAAUUUGAAGGAGGAGCGGUUCCGGCGGCGCGUGCUUCGAAGUCCCUUGGAACAGGGCGCCUUGGAGGGUGAGAGCCCCGUGCGAGGCUGCGCGCUGGCGGUAUACGCUGCUGCUCCGACGAGUCGAGUUGUUUGGGAAUGCAGCUCAAAGUGGGUGGUAAAUUCCAUCUAAAGCUAAAUAUUGGCGAGAGACCGAUAGCGAACAAGUACAGUGAUGGAAAGAUGAAAAGCACUUUGAAAAGAGAGUGAAACAGUACGUGAAAUUGUUGAAAGGGAAGGGCUUGCAAGCAGACACGGCCCCUCCGGGCCGGGCCAGCAUCGGUUGGCGGGGGUGGACAAGGCGGCGGGAAUGUGGCUUGCGUCCUCUGGGCGCAAGUGUUUAUAGCCCGCUGAGAUACACCCACUGCCGACCGAGGCCUGCGACAUCUUGUCUAGGAUGCUGGCGUAAUGGUUGCAAGCCGCCC